UACGUAGGCAGCGAGCGUUGUUCGGAGUUACUGGGCGUAAAGGGUGCGUAGGCGGUUGUUUAAGUUUGGUGUGAAAUCUCCCGGCUCCAACUGGGAGGGUGCGCCGAAUACUGAAUGACUAGAGUGCGGGAGAGGAUAGUGGAAUUCCUGGUGUAGCGGUGAAAUGCGUAGAUAUCAGGAGGAACACCGGUGGUGUAGACGGCUAUCUGGACCGUAACUGACGCUGAGGCACGAAAGCGUGGGUAGCAAACAGG
rnacentral:rRNA from 1 species